rnacentral:lncRNA from 1 species
CCGGGGUUUGUAAAUCGGGCCUUGACUCGAAAAAUUCAAUGAUUUUCUCUUGAAUAUCCCUGUUUUUCCCUCUCAUGUAGGUUGAGAGAGAGACUUUGUCAACCUCCAGUUUAUUGGCCGCCUUGGCGCAUGUUAGCAUGUUGAGUUGGGGUGAAGGUUGAGAAGGUGGAAGCGGGGUCAGGUGAAGGGACAGACACUGGAUACGGCGGCUCGCGGCGGUGAUGGACGGAUGGGAUUCAUCCUCCACCGUCUGAUUUGGGUUCAU